UACGGGGGGGGCAAGCGUUGUUCGGAAUUACUGGGCGUAAAGGGCUCGUAGGUGGCCAACUAAGUCAGACGUGAAAUCCCUCGGCUUAACCGGGGAACUGCGUCUGAUACUGGAUGGCUUGAGUUCGGGAGAGGGAUGCGGAAUUCCAGGUGUAGCGGUGAAAUGCGUAGAUAUCUGGAGGAACAUCAGUGGCGAAGGCGACACCCUGGACUCAUACUGACACUGAGGUGCGAAAGCGUGGGGAGCAAACAGG
rnacentral:rRNA from 1 species